UAUAUCAAAACUUUCAACAACGGAUCUCUUGGUUCUCGCAUCGAUGAAGAACGCAGCGAAUUGCGAUACGUAGUAUGACUUGCAGACGUGAAUCAUCGAAUCUUUGAACGCACAUUGCGCCUCGAGGCAUUCCUCGAGGCAUGCCUGUUUGAGCGUCGCAUCCCCUCUAACCCCCGGUUAGGCGUUGCUCCGAAAUAUCAACCGCGCUGUCAAACACGUUUACAGCACGACAUUUCGCCCUCAAAUCAGGUAG
rnacentral:misc_RNA from 1 species